rnacentral:rRNA from 1 species
CAGUAGCCACGGUAAUACGUAGGGUGCGAGCGUUAAUCGGAAUUACUGGGCGUAAAGCGUGCGCAGGCGGUUGUGUAAGACAGGUGUGAAAUCCCCGGGCUUAACCUGGGAACUGCGCUUGUGACUGCACAGCUAGAGUAUGGCAGAGGGGGGUGGAAUUCCACGUGUAGCAGUGAAAUGCGUAGAGGUGUGGAGGAACGCCGAUGGCGAAGGCAGCCCCCUGGGCCAAUACUGACGCUCAUGCACGAAAGCGUGGGGAGCAAACAGGAUUAGAUACCCCGGUAGUCCCUGUCUCUUAUAC